rnacentral:rRNA from 1 species
CAGGAAGCAGCUUGCUGCUUCGCUGACGAGUGGCGGACGGGUGAGUAAUGUCUGGGAAACUGCCUGAUGGAGGGGGAUAACUACUGGAAACGGUGGCUAAUACCGCAUAACGUCGCAAGACCAAAGAGGGGGACCUUCGGGCCUCUUGCCAUCAGAUGUGCCCAGAUGGGAUUAGCUUGUUGGUGAGGUAACGGCUCACCAAGGCGACGAUCCCUAGCUGGUCUGAGAGGAUGACCAGCCACACUGGAACUGAGACACGGUCCAGACUCCUACGGGAGGCAGCAGUGGGGAAUAUUGCACAAUGGGCGCAAGCCUGAUGCAGCCAUGCCGCGUGUAUGAAGAAGGCCUUCGGGUUGUAAAGUACUUUCAGCGGGGAGGAAGGUGUUGUGGUUAAUAACCGCAGCAAUUGACGUUACCCGCAGAAGAAGCACCGGCUAACUCCGUGCCAGCAGCCGCGGUAAUACGGAGGGUGCAAGCGUUAAUCGGAAUUACUGGGCGUAAAGCGCACGCAGGCGGUCUGUCAAGUCGGAUGUGAAAUCCCCGGGCUCAACCUGGGAACUGCAUUCGAAACUGGCAGGCUUGAGUCUUGUAGAGGGGGGUAGAAUUCCAGGUGUAGCGGUGAAAUGCGUAGAGAUCUGGAGGAAUACCGGUGGCGAAGGCGGCCCCCUGGACAAAGACUGACGCUCAGGUGCGAAAGCGUGGGGAGCAAACAGGAUUAGAUACCCUGGUAGUCCACGCCGUAAACGAUGUCUACUUGGAGGUUGUGCCCUUGAGGCGUGGCUUCCGGAGCUAACGCGUUAAGUAGACCGCCUGGGGAGUACGGCCGCAAGGUUAAAACUCAAAUGAAUUGACGGGGGCCCGCACAAGCGGUGGAGCAUGUGGUUUAAUUCGAUGCAACGCGAAGAACCUUACCUGGUCUUGACAUCCACAGAACUUUCCAGAGAUGGAUUGGUGCCUUCGGGAACUGUGAGACAGGUGCUGCAUGGCUGUCGUCAGCUCGUGUUGUGAAAUGUUGGGUUAAGUCCCGCAACGAGCGCAACCCUUAUCCUUUGUUGCCAGCGGUCCGGCCGGGAACUCAAAGGAGACUGCCAGUGAUAAACUGGAGGAAGGUGGGGAUGACGUCAAGUCAUCAUGGCCCUUACGACCAGGGCUACACACGUGCUACAAUGGCGCAUACAAAGAGAAGCGACCUCGCGAGAGCAAGCGGACCUCAUAAAGUGCGUCGUAGUCCGGAUUGGAGUCUGCAACUCGACUCCAUGAAGUCGGAAUCGCUAGUAAUCGUGGAUCAGAAUGCCACGGUGAAUACGUUCCCGGGCCUUGUACACACCGCCCGUCACACCAUGGGAGUGGGUUGCAAAAGAAGUAGGUAGCUUAACCUUCGGGAGGGCGCUUACCACUUUGUGAUUCAUGACUGGGGUGAAGUCGUAACAAGGUAACCGUAGGGGAACCUGCGGUUGGA